rnacentral:rRNA from 1 species
GAACGGGUGAGUAACACGUGGGAAACCUACCUCUUAGCAGGGGAUAACAUUUGGAAACAGAUGCUAAUACCGUAUAACAAUGACAACCGCAUGGUUGUUAUUUAAAAGAUGGUUCUGCUAUCACUAAGAGAUGGUCCCGCGGUGCAUUAGCUAGUUGGUAAGGUAAUGGCUUACCAAGGCGAUGAUGCAUAGCCGAGUUGAGAGACUGAUCGGCCACAAUGGGACUGAGACACGGCCCAUACUCCUACGGGAGGCAGCAGUAGGGAAUCUUCCACAAUGGGCGAAAGCCUGAUGGAGCAACGCCGCGUGUGUGAUGAAGGGUUUCGGCUCGUAAAACACUGUUGUAAGAGAAGAAUGACAUUGAGAGUAACUGUUCAAUGUGUGACGGUAUCUUACCAGAAAGGAACGGCUAAAUACGUGCCAGCAGCCGCGGUAAUACGUAUGUUCCAAGCGUUAUCCGGAUUUAUUGGGCGUAAAGCGAGCGCAGACGGUUAUCUAAGUCUGAAGUGAAAGCCCUCAGCUCAACUGAGGAAUUGCUUUGGAAACUGGAUGACUUGAGUGCAGUAGAGGAAAGUGGAACUCCAUGUGUAGCGGUGAAAUGCGUAGAUAUAUGGAAGAACACCAGUGGCGAAAGCGGCUUUCUGGACUGUAACUGACGUUGAGGCUCGAAAGUGUGGGUAGCAAACAGGAUUAGAUACCCUGGUAGUCCACACCGUAAACGAUGAGUGCUAGGUGUUUGAGGGUUUCCGCCCUUAAGUGCCGCAG